AGAGUUUGAUCCUGGCUCAGAUUGAACGCUGGCGGCAGGCCUAACACAUGCAAGUCGAGCGGAUGAGUGGAGCUUGCUCCAUGAUUCAGCGGCGGGCGGGUGAGUAAUGCCUAGGAAUCUGCCUGGUAGUGGGGGACAACGUUUCGAAAGGAACGCUAAUACCGCAUACGUCCUACGGGAGAAAGCAGGGGACCUUCGGGCCUUGCGCUAUCAGAUGAACCUAGGUCGGAUUAGCUAGUUGGUGAGGUAAAGGCUCACCAAGGCGACGAUCCGUAACUGGUCUGAGAGGAUGAUCAGUCACACUGGAACUGAGACACGGUCCAGACUCCUACGGGAGGCAGCAGUGGGGAAUAUUGGACAAUGGGCGAAAGCCUGAUCCAGCCAUGCCGCGUGUGUGAAGAAGGUCUUCGGAUUGUAAAGCACUUUAAGUUGGGAGGAAGGGCAGUAAGUUAAUACCUUGCUGUUUUGACGUUACCGGCAGAAUAAGCACCGGCUAACUUCGUGCCAGCAGCCGCGGUAAUACGAAGGGUGCAAGCGUUAAUCGGAAUUACUGGGCGUAAAGCGCGCGUAGGUGGUUCGUUAAGUUGGAUGUGAAAGCCCCGGGCUCAACCUGGGAACUGCAUCCAAAACUGGCGAGCUAGAGUAUGGCAGAGGGUGGUGGAAUUUCCUGUGUAGCGGUGAAAUGCGUAGAUAUAGGAAGGAACACCAGUGGCGAAGGCGACCACCUGGGCUAAUACUGACACUGAGGUGCGAAAG
rnacentral:rRNA from 1 species